AGAACCUUCGAGUACUGACGGAAAGAGUGGAGUGCAAACCACGUGGAGUCGGAGGUUUGUGGGAGCCGACCGUCUGGGCAGUAUUU
rnacentral:ncRNA from 2 species